rnacentral:piRNA from 1 species
UCAUGCAAUAUUGUAUGGCUAAGGGAGACC